GAUGAACGCUAGCGGGAGGCCUAACACAUGCAAGCCGAGCGGUAUUGUUUCUUCGGAAAUGAGAGAGCGGCGUACGGGUGCGGAACACGUGUGCAACCUGCCUUUAUCUGGGGGAUAGCCUUUCGAAAGGAAGAUUAAUACUCCAUAAUAUAUUGAUUGGCAUCAAUUAAUAUUGAAAGCUCCGGCGGAUAGGGAUGGGCACGCGCAAGAUUAGCUAGUUGGUGAGGUAACGGCUCAACAAGGCGAUGAUCUGUAGGGGGCCUGAGAGGGUGAUCCCCCACACUGGUACUGAGACACGGACCAGACUCCUACGGGAGGCAGCAGUGAGGAAUAUUGGUCAAUGGGUGCAAGCCUGAACCAGCCAUCCCGCGUGAAGGACGACUGCCCUAUGGGUUGUAAACUUCUUUUGUAUAGGGAUAAACCUACCCUCGUGAGGGUAGCUGAAGGUACUAUACGAAUAAGCACCGGCUAACUCCGUGCCAGCCGCCGCGGUAAAAC
rnacentral:rRNA from 1 species